ensembl:lncRNA
GCCGUGGCCGUGCCAUGCCCUGCAGUGGGAGCGGGAGGUCGCUGCGCCCCAGCGGGAGGUCACUGCGCCCCAGCGGGAGGUCACUGCGCCCCAGCGGGAGGUCGCUGCGGCCUCUUUCCCGGUUUGAGCACCUGCCCCCAAAAGGUCUCCAUUAUUGUAACCAGCCAAAAUGGUUGCUGUGAUUUGCGAGGCGUCUGUCAGCCCAGCUAUCUGAUAUUAGCACAUUUGCCUGCGUUAGAUAGCCUAACGUUCUUUGCAGCGGACCAACGUCACACCUGUCUAUUACGGCAUCGAGGCAGCUACACACCCAAAGAUGACACGAGUUGGCACACAUUUGAAAUAGAUAGAUAGAUAGAUAGAUAGAUAGAUAGAUAGAUAGAUAGAUAGAUAGAUAGAUAGAUAGAUAGAUAGAUAGAUAGAUAGAUAGAUAGAUAGAUUGAUUGAUACUUUAUUGAUCCCUCAAGAGGGAAAUUUUGGUAUCACAGCAGCAUGUACAGGGAAGAAAAUAGAAUAAAAAGAUACCCAUUAUAUACAAUAUGAUAAGAUAGAAAUAUUAAAUUAUUAAAUUAAAUUAAGUUAAAUAAACUAAAACUGAAACAAAAUAAUAACUUUCCAAAAGAGACAAUAAUAAUAAUUUGUAAAAGGAGAAGAUCAAGAGGAAGAGCAGCAGCAUCACAGCAGUACAGGUUUGUUAUUGUCAUUAUUUAGCCUGGGAUGGUUUAUUGUAGAGAGUUGUUGCACUGGGCAGGAAUGAUCUCCUGUAUCGUCCUUGUGACAGCGGAGCUGAAGGAGUCUGUUGGAGAACGUGCUCCGCUGUCCCUGCAGCAGGUGGUGGAGGGGGUGGUCAGGAUUAUCCAAUAUGGAUAAAUAUAAAUGUGUUUAUUCAAUGUCUUAAUACAUUCCUAUGUUGAAGCUGGACUCUGAAUAUUUCUUUAUUGAUGUGGGUUUUCAUUGGUGGAUGGACAAUAAGUUGAUCAUAUCUCAAAUAUGCCAGGCACAUUCAAUCUGAGGCGCCAGCUGUUCGUGUUCCUGGACUCCUCAACUCAGACCCUGGAGGUGUCCUUCAGGGUGGAGCACGGAGACGGUGACUACAUGGCGUACGCCAGCUCCGGGCUCAGCAGUAGGGCUGCCACUAUCGAUUACUUUUUCAAUUAGUCAACGAUUAUUGAUACCAGUGUAGGAGCGUGGAAACACAAGGAAAGUAUUCCUUUUGUUUAUUUCCAUCGAAUAACUUUGGAUUCUGAACUUCAAAUGUAUUUGAGUAACAAGUUAAUACAAAUUUAAUAAUAUAUAAUAAUCAUAAUAAAUACAUUAAAUAGUAAUACAAAAAGUAAAUGCAAAUAUGCGUUUGAAAGUAAAGAGAAAGCACAAAAGGUUUUAAAAGUAACUUAAAAUAGCAAUAAAGUCUCUGCAAGUGAAGCAUGUUGAGCAUUUUAAUAAGGAUUUAAUAAGUUAGUGUAGAUCUCUCGUAAUUGUGUUGAUAUGAACUUAUUUUACACAAUCUUUUGUUUAAAUUGUGCUAAGUGGAGGUUAACGUUAACUAUUCAGAGCGAUCGAAAAGGCUACUAGCGUUAGCAAGCAUCCUCCACGAGACGUUCUGUUCUCCAACAAACCUUUCGAUAAGCUAACAGGGCCAGCGUCACUUUAGUUAAGUAAACUUACCCAUGUAUGGCCUUAUAUUUGUGCCACAAUCCUGAGCGCGUAAUUGUAAGUUUUGAGCACAGAGAACUAUAUUUUAGCAAAGAAAACAUAUUCCGUGUGCGCAGUUUACUCAGGUGAUC